CAGCCUGCCCAGUGACUCUGUUCAACGGCCGCGGUAUCCUAACCGUGCGAAGGUAGCGUAAUCACUUGUUCUUUAAAUGUGGACUAGUAUGAAUGGCAUCACGAAGGUUAUACUGUCUCCUUUUUCUAAUCAGUGAAACUAAUCUCCCCGUGAAGAAGCGAGGAUAAAACUAUAAGACGAGAAGACCCUAUGGAGCUUUAAACAUUUAUAACACUUGCUAAAUAAAAUACAAAUUUCAGAAUUAUUUACUCUUUAAGCAACUUGUCUAUAAGUUUUUGGUUGGGGUGACCGCGGAGCAUAAUACAACCUCCAUGUUGAAAGAUCUAUUUCUAAGCUAAGAGCUACACCUCUAAGCAUCAACAUAUUGACAUCCAUUGACCCAAUAUAUUUGAACAACGAACCAAGUUACCCUAGGGAUAACAGCGCAAUCCACUUCAAGAGCUCCUAUCGACAAGUGGGUUUACGACCUCGAUGUUGGAUCAGGGUUUCCCAGUGGUGCAGCCGCUACUAAAG
rnacentral:rRNA from 1 species